rnacentral:lncRNA from 1 species
AUGGAUCUCCUGAACCUGCCCGAAGGGCCUCACCCUCCAGUGGGCCAGAUCCCUCUACCCUUCCUUCUCACCCAAAUCUGCCCACACCCUCCAGCCGCCCCCCGCAGCCUCUCCCCCAGACCCUGCCCCCAACGUCCUCCAACACCUGCCCAGAGCCCUUCACCCUCCAUCCUACCCAGAGCCCCCAGCGCCGGGUCUCCUCACACAGCCCACGCCCUCUCCCCGCUCGGGGCCGGGACCCUGCCCCCCCCCCCACCCUCCACGAAGGUGAGGAAGACUGCCCGCUGCCCUUGCCCGAAGCAGCCAGGGCACCGCAACUGCGGCGGCGCACAACAAACAAUGCGGGGCCCGGGCCGGCACCGCCAACCGCCUCAACCGCCGCCUCAACCGCCGCCCGCCCGGGACAGCCCGCCGCGCAGGCGCCUGCCCCUCCGCCGCAGCCUACCCGCACCGCCGCGCUCUGCCCGCGCCCGGUCCCUGCUCCCGCUCCGCCGCCGCCGCCACCUCGUCAGCCUGCGUCUCCGGCUCCUCAGCCCAGCGGCGGCGGCUGCGGCGGCUGCUGCCCUGGUGGCGCUCGCGGCUCCGGUCUCCGCUUCGGCGGCGGCGGCGGCGGCGAGCACGUGACGCUGCCGAGCGCGCCCAUUGGCCGGGCCAGGGGGCGGGCCCCACGGCUGCCGGGGAACGGAAAGCCCGCCCCCUCACUCGUCGCGCGCCCCCUCCACGCGCGCUCUGCCGCACCUGAGAGCGCCGGCCAGCGCCCGCCGCCGCCGUGCCGCGCCGCCGCCUGCGCCAACUGCGCACCUGGGAGCGCGCAAGGAGCACACACUGUGGCGGCCGCAUGCACCUGCGAGGAGACGCUUACGUAAACUGCGUCGCUGCCUCCCUCCCGGAGGCAGGCCCCCGCCUGCGGCAGCACCUGAGCCCUGCUGCGCUAGCGGCGUAAGUGCUGCGGAGCGGGGACGAGCUGCGGAAGGGAGGCGAGCGAAAUCCACGGAAACUUCGUAACGUCCGAAUCUGGGAGCGGCUCCCGGUCGCCACUAGGGCGAGCCGGCCUCUCCCGCCCCGCGCCCCAGAGCGCUGUACCCCCGACCCCAGCGGCUACGCAAAUGGAGUAGGUGCCGUAACGCCUCCCCAGGUGGAGGAGGGGGAAGUUAAUGAGCUUUGACUAGUUAAAAGGUUGAAACACAGCCUCCACCCCGCCAGCACCAACCAGCUGUGUGACCUUGACCAAAUUACAGAACCACUCUGAUCCUCAGUUUCCUGGUCCGGGAAACUGGGACAGUAAUUCUGAUUUAGGAGCCGUUGGAGGGAUGGAAGAAAAAAAAAAGAGAGAGAGACAAUAGGUGAAAAGACUGUAGGUGCAAAUUCUUCUAGCACAUUGCAGGUACUGAGCAGAAGUUGCAUUUUAGUCAACAACCUCCUCUCCUCCCACCCCUCAGGGACCUCCCUGGGACUGAGCUGGGGGCCAGGGCUUCUCUGACCUCCUUAGAGUUAGGUCAGAUUUUGGCUGAACCCUGGCCCGGCACUGCUGAGGAAGAAAGGAAGAUUUGCUAUUUAGUCACUAGCUGGCACCUUCUUGGCACCCAGCAUUCUGCCAGCGAUGUCGGACCUCUAUCUGAGUUCCUCCUGCAUGACAGGUCCUGUGCUAGGGGGCUGGGAUGCGCAGGUGAAUGAGAUAGGAAAUUACCUGCCC